rnacentral:lncRNA from 1 species
AUCUAGUUGUCAUCUUCGCGGCAUCUCCGCCUUGAAAGCAUGAAGUCGCCGCCGCAGCUAGGAGGAGGAUGGAGCCGCUCGGUCUCAGCAGCACCAGUGCGGGUCCUGAAGCCGCGGACUGAGCUUCGGGCUGAGGAAGAAGAGUUGGAUUUGGAGCCUUGAUAAAUCAAGGUGAGGUGGUUUCGCUGUUUCUAGAUAUCAGAUUUGUUUUGGGCAUUAUUGUGGGUGUUUGAUUGAGUUACCGAUUUGAUCUGAGGAGGAGAAAGCGUUGGUGGAGCUCUGUCAAGGCAGUGGCUUGGUGUUGGCAGCAGCAAAUGAUAGGAGCCCUGCUACUCAGCAGAGUUGGUAGGGAGGAGACCCUCGGCUCAGUUAUGCCUUAGCUAAAGGUAGUCACCCUAUAGUUUAUGUGUAUGAAUAUGUGUUGGUGUUGUUUGAUUAAACUAUAGGUUGUUAGAUGAUUGUGUAGUUAAUUGUGUUUUGGUGUUUAUGAUUGAAGUGUUAAGAUUAUAGUCUCGGUGGAGAAGUGAGGCUUGUUGUGAUUUUGGAGAAGAUUGGUUAUAGCGUGCAUGUUGUUUUGCUUUGGAUGAUUGGUUGUUUGGAACUUUGGAUUGAUAUUCUGGUAGUGUCGGAACAGUUUCCAUUCAUUUUUAUGUGAAUUGUGAUAGACUUUAUUUCAAUUGUUUCAUCAAGUUCCCAAGUCCCAGCUUUUGCUUUUUUCAAAUUUGACAUCCUAGAUCUGAGUUUUUGUGUUUGUUUACUUCUGUUUAGUGGGUUGCUGAAUUUCAAGCUUGCCACCGCUCAGGUAAGAGACCGAGUAUUAUAUGGUCAUAUCUUUCAUUUUUACUAAGAUGACCUUUAAUACUGCAAAGUAGUAAAAUAUGCAUCUUGGGAUUCCUUGUUUAAGUUCAUUUGAUUUGGUUCUCCAUAUGAUGGCUUUGACAGGAAGGAAGGUUGCUAGUUCAGACAAUGAAAUCUGGGAGCUAUAGUGUAAGUUUUUCUUCUAUUACUCAUUUACCUUGCUCUGCACUAGCUGUUAAUGUAUAUGAUGUCUGUUAGUUUCUUAAUUGAACAUGAUCUUGAUAAGAUUUUAAGGGACAAUUUGUUUCCUUGAACUCCUAGGACAGAUAACAGAUUAUUGGUUUAAUAAAGUAAUAGGUUUUGGGAGAUGUUUUUCUGAAGCAGCUACAAGGUAGAAAAAUUAGUCAUGAGUUCUUUAUAGCUGUAUUAUUUGUUUUGUUUCAGAUGCUUUUGAAUGUAAGAGAUAAUGUGAAAAAGGGUGCAAUAUACAUGUUCAGGUAUGGUCUUGUCUUCUUAUAUGCGUAGUCGAAUUUUAGAAAAGUAGCAAAGUUCUACUUUUGCAGGUUGUCGUUUACAUUGAUCCUCUACCCCAAUCAUCUGAACAAGUUUUAUUUACAUUGAUUAAUGCAUUGAGAAAAGUAAUUGUGUUGUCUACAUUGAUCACAUAGAGCCUAUAUCAAAUAUAGUCUGAUUUUUAUAUGGUUUGAGUUAUAGGGUUAUUGAGAAGGCAAGGAUUGAAGCUGAAUACGAGUUGCAGAAGCUGCUGCACAAAGGCUAGGCUGAACUUUAAUUGGAGGAGGUUUUGAACAAGACUAGAAAAUUACACUUGUAUAUAUAUUUUUUGAUAUAGUGGAAACUAGAGGACUUGGUCUUAAUGAAACAAUUAGUACUGUGUCUAUGGUGACUGUGUGAAUACAAACAUAUUUGAUUUCUGAAUUUAAUCAGAAAUCAAAUAUUUUUUUUAUAAUAUGAAAAACAAUUAAUGACGUUGGGAAAACGUCGUGUAAGCCUUUUCUAUAGCAAUUGAAAAACGUCAUUGAAAACCUUAUUAUAACAGUUUAUAAACGCCAUUAAAAGGUUUCUAUGACGAGAACGAAGUAUCAUCAAAAGAUUUUCAAUGACGUUUGAAAAACGUCAUUGAAGGGUACCC